GCUGCAAAGCCACCCCCCCUUCCGCCCCUGCCCUCCCGAGCCCCAGGGAAAAUGCUUUCCAGCAUUGUCGAGCUUCUGAAAGACAAAACUUGUGAUUUGACACUUGCAUCCAGAAAAGGUUUCUGUCUAAAUUAGCAAAUGCCUCAAUUGUUCUUGGUUACAUCCCAUGACCGGUUUCAGGCAGCGACUUUAUAAUGCUUUUAGGAUUUUCUUGUACAAUGGUGAGAAAAUAGGCAGGUCUGAUAGUGGUUUCACUUUUUUUUUCUACUUCACGUUCCAUAAGAUUCUUUUAUGCAAGCACUUGUUUUAAAAUUCUACUGUAAGCGUUUAUGGUUCACUUUUUUUUUCUUUGCAGCACCCGUGACUUUUUUUUCCCUCUAAAUCGGGAGUAAAUAUAGCUGAGUAAAAUUACCUUGAUUUUCUUCCUUCUUUUUUAACUGAAUUGUUUUUAUUAAAAAUCCUAUUUGAAUAUGUAGAAAAAGCGGGGAUGUCUUGUAAUAUAUCGUAGCUUUUCUUGUUUACAGGAUACUCAGAAAAUAUGUCUCCCUUAGAGUCCCACAGAAACGUUCUCAGUGCGAUCUCUAUCAAGUGCUAUGAGUCUUGAUCAAUUGGAGAAGAGCCCAAGAGAAAUUUUUCAUCCCUUGAUAUAAAAGGGAUCGGUGAAUUUUAACUUUGGAGUCCCCUAUGCUAAGGAUGCUCAGCUUACAGGUGAUGAAAUGUUCAGUAAUGUAUUUGCUGCAGCUCUGCUUACCCAAGCUUUGGGUUCCUUCUGUCCCACUGGGAGUUGCCCAAUUUGGUUGCAUCUGGUGAAAUUCACCCUGAGACCUUACAGAAGCAGCUCCAACUACGUGAGAGCCAUUUGCAGUUCUCUCCAGACGCCUGGAGAAUGGGCGACGUUUCUGAGGAUCCGGCGAGCGUGCUUCUGUCAAAACUCAGUCUGUGAAAUUCCUGGGGAAAACCCUUCUGUGUCCUGAAGGGUUCAAACUCUGGUGAGGAUCCAGUUAUCAGGUGCUCACCUGGAUGGUUCCAGCUCCCAAAGGGAAAGACUCUCGUGUCCUUGUCGUCGGGCUCAGUGCUGUCCAAGAAGAUACGGGGACUAAAAAAAUCAUAAGAAGCAAAAUAGGACUGCAGGGAAAAGAAGCUGGAGAGAACAGAAGACUCAUCACGGCGGGACAGCGUGAAGACUGAAAGUGUAAGAAGAUGUGGAGGGAAAGAGAGAAUCUGACAGGAGCAUCGGACGCACGAGUGCACGAAUUUUGCUUUUUUGCUUGGAUGUAAACUCAGGCGUUGAAAGGAAUUUGGGAGUGAGAAGGGACAUUUCAGAAGGAGAAGAAGCAAAAGAAGUUGUUGUUGUUGUUACAGUCCUGGCAAAAUCUUUUGUUCUAGCUAAUAAAAGAAGUUAGUUUAAAAAACAAAAAGGAAAAAAUGUAGUGGUUUUUUUU